UGGCGGACGGGUGAGUAACGCGUGGGUAACCUGCCUUAUACAGGGGGAUAACACUUAGAAAUAGGUGCUAAUACCGCAUAAGCGCACAGCUUCGCAUGAAGCGGUGUGAAAAACUCUGGUGGUAUACGAUGGUUCCGCGUCUGAUUAGCUAGUUGGUGGGGUAAUGGCCUACCAAGGCAACGAUCAGUAGCCGGCCUGAGAGGGUGAACGGCCACAUUGGGACUGAGACACGGCCCAAACUCCUACGGGAGGCAGCAG
rnacentral:rRNA from 1 species